rnacentral:rRNA from 1 species
GCAAGCGUUGUUCGGAAUUACUGGGCGUAAAGAGUGUGUAGGCGGUGCUCUAAGUCUGUUGUGAAAUCUCCCGGCUUAACUGGGAGGGUGCGGCGGAGACUGGAGUGCUAGAGUGUGGGAGAGGUAAGCGGAAUUCCUAGUGUAGCGGUGAAAUGCGUAGAUAUCAGGAGGAACACCUGUGGUGUAGACAGCUUACUGGACCACGACUGACGCUGAGACACGAAAGCGUGGGUAGCAAACAGG